CGGCGCACGGGUGCGUAACGCGUAUGCAAUCUACCUUCAACUGGAGAAUAGCCCGGGGAAACCCGGAUUAAUACUCCAUAAUAUCCAAAAUUCGCAUGUUUUUUGGAUUAAAGCUCCGGCGGUUGAAGAUGAGCAUGCGUGCCAUUAGCUUGUUGGUGAGGUAACGGCUCACCAAAGCUGCGAUGGCUAGGGGGUCUGAGAGGAUGAUCCCCCACACUGGCACUGAGACACGGACCAGACUCCUACGGGAGGCAGCAGUGAGGAAUAUUGGUCAAUGGGCGAAAGCCUGAACCAGCCAUCCCGCGUGAAGGAUGACGGCCCUACGGGUUGUAAACUUCUUUUCUAUAGGAAGAACCACCUCUACGUGUAGAGGUCUGACUGUACUAUAGGAAUAAGCAUCGGCUAUCUCCGUGCCAGCUGCCGCGGUAAUACGGAGGAUGCAUGCGUUAUCCGGAUUUAUCUGGGUUUACAGGGUUCGUAGGCGGAAUUAUAAGUCAGUGGUGAAAUCCUGCAGCUUAACUGUAGAACUGCCAUUGAUACUGUAAUUCUUGAGUAUAGUUGAGGUGGGCGGAAUGUGUUAUGUAGCGGUGAAAUGCUUAGAUAUGACACAGAACACCAAUUGCGAAGGCAGCUCGCUAAACUAUUACUGACGCUGAGGAACGAAAGCGUGGGGAGCGAACAGGAUUAGAUACCCUGGUAGUCCACGCCGUAAACGAUGAUCACUCGUAGUUGGCAAUACAUCGUCAGCGACUGAGCGAAAGCAUUAAGUGAUCCACCUGGGGAGUACGGUCGCAAGAUUGAAACUCAAAGGAAUUGACGGGGGCCCGCACAAGCGGAGGAACAUGUGGUUUAAUUCGAUGAUACGCGAGGAACCUUACCUGGGCUUAAAUGCAGAACGACGUUCGCCGAAAGGCGUUCUCCCUUCGGGGCGGACUGCAAGGUGCUGCAUGGUUGUCGUCAGCUCGUGCCGUGAGGUGUCGGGUUAAGUCCCAUAACGAGCGCAACCCCUAUUGUUAGUAGCCAGCGGAUAAUGCCGGGGACUCUAACGAGACUGCCACCGUAAGGUGAGAGGAAGGUGGGGAUGACGUCAAAUCAGCACGGCCCUUAUGUCCAGGGCUACACACGUGUUACAAUGGUCGGUACAAUGGGCAGCUACCAUGCGAAUGGAUGCUAAUCUCUAAAACCGAUCUUAGUUCGGAUCGGAGUCUGCAACUCGACUCCGUGAAGUUGGAUUCGCUAGUAAUCGUAUAUCAGCAAUGAUACGGUGAAUACGUUCCCGGGCCUUGUACACACCGCCCGUCAAGCCAUGGAAGCUGGGGGUGCCUGAAGUCUGCAACCGCAAGG
rnacentral:rRNA from 1 species